rnacentral:rRNA from 1 species
UACAGAGGGGGCAAGCGUUGUUCGGAAUUACUGGGCGUAAAGGGCGCGUAGGCGGCCCGCUAAGUCGAACGUGAAAUCCCCGGGCUCGAACCCGGGAACUGCGUCCGAUACUGGUGGGCUUGAAUCCGGGAGAGGGAUGCGGGAAUUCCAAGGUGUAGCGGUGGAAAUGACGUAGAUAUCUGGAGGAACACCGGUGGCGAAGGCGGCAUCCUGGACCGGCAUUGACGCUGAGGCGCGAAAGC